AGCAAGUGAUAACUUUGUAGAGUGGGGUAU
rnacentral:piRNA from 1 species